UACGGGGGGGGCAAGCGUUGUUCGGAAUUACUGGGCGUAAAGGGCGCGUAGGCGGCCUGCUAAGUCGAACGUGAAAUCCCCGGGCUCAACCCGGGAACUGCGUCCGAUACUGGCAGGCUUGAAUCCGGGAGAGGGAUGCGGAAUUCCAGGUGUAGCGGUGAAAUGCGUAGAUAUCUGGAGGAAGACCAGUGGCGAAGGCGGGUCUCUGGACAGUUCCUGACGCUGAGGCACGAAGGCCAGGGGAGCAAACGGG
rnacentral:rRNA from 1 species